rnacentral:rRNA from 1 species
UACGAAGGGGGCUAGCGUUGCUCGGAAUCACUGGGCGUAAAGCGCACGUAGGCGGCUUUUUAAGUCAGGGUGAAAUCCUGGAGCUCAACUCCAGAACUGCCUUUGAUGACUGGGAGCUUGAGUCCGGGAGAGGUGAGUGGAACUGCGAGUGUAGAGGUGAAAUUCGUAGAUAUUCGCAAGAACACCAGUGGCGAAGGCGGCUCACUGGCCCGGUACUGACGCUGAGGUGCGAAAGCGUGGGAGCAACGG